rnacentral:rRNA from 1 species
AACGACUCUCGGCAACGGAUAUCUCGGCUCUCGCAUCGAUGAAGAACGUAGCGAAAUGCGAUACUUGGUGUGAAUUGCAGAAUCCCGUGAACCAUCGAGUUUUUGAACGCAAGUUGCGCCCCAAGCCUUUGGGCCGAGGGUACGCUUGCCUGGGCGUCACGC